GACGAACGCUGGCGGCGUGCUUAACACAUGCGAGUCGAACGAUGAAGCGGGUGCUUGCCCUCGUGGAUUAGUGGCGAACGGGCGAGUAACACGUGAGUAACCUGUCCUUUUCUUUGGGAUAACGGCUGGAAACGGCUGCUAAUACUGGAUAUUCAGGCUGCAUCGCAUGGUGUGGUUUGGAAAGGUUUUUUCUGGGAUUGGGUGGGCUCGCGGCCUAUCAGCUUGUUGGUGGGGUGAUGGCUUACCAAGGCUUUGACGGGUAGCCGGCCUGAGAGGGUGGUCGGUCGCACUGGGACUGAGAUACGGCCCAGACUCCUACGGGAGGCAGCAGUGGGGAAUAUUGCACAAUGGACGAAAGUUUGAUGCAGCGACGCCGCGUGGAGGGUGUAGGCCUUCGGGUUGUGAACUCCUCUGUCUCGCGAAAAAGGCACAGUUUUGGCUGUGUUGAUGGUAGUGGGGGAAGAAGCGCCGGCUAACUACGUG
rnacentral:rRNA from 1 species